CAAUCAACCCGACUUGCUCAUUUUGGUGAGACUCAAAUGUGGGGCACACUUCUGGAUUAUGCGUAGAAAGUGCUACUACUUUUGGGUGUCUCCUGUGGGCACUACUCACAGAUCCCUGU
rnacentral:precursor_RNA from 14 species